rnacentral:rRNA from 1 species
UCUAGAAGCUUCGGCAAUGGAGGAAACUCUGACCGAGCGACGCCGCGUGCAGGAUGACGGUCUUCGGAUUGUAAACUGCUUUCGGCAGGAAGGAAGGCCCGCAUGGUGAAUGCGGGAUUGACCUACCUGAGGAAGAAGCCCCGGCUAACUCUGUGCCAGCAGCCGCGGUAAUACAGAGGGGGCAAGCGUUAUUCGGAUUUACUGGGCGUAAAGGGCGCGAAGGCGGCUCGGCAAGGCUGGUGUGAAAACGCUACCGCUUAACGGAGCGAUUGCGCUGGAAACUGCCGAACUUGAGUACGCGAGAGGCUAGCAGAAUUCCUGGUGUAGCGGUGGAAUGCUUAGAUAUCAGGAGGAAUACCAGAGGCGAAGGCGGCUAGCUGGCGCGUUACUGACGCUGAGGCGCGAAAGCGUGGGGAGCGAACA